CCUGCCUGUGGAGGCGGUGCAGGUGUGGCUGUGUGUCAGUAGGUGGCAGAGAGGAGGGAAGCCGUGUCUACACUGUGUUCUGACCUAAGAAUGUCUGGAUGAUUAGUAGCCUAACACU
rnacentral:snoRNA from 1 species